AUGAACACCUUGGUGACAACUAUGCACUGUGCACAGCUGGCCCAGUGUCAACACCCAUGAUUGUUGCAAAGGAGAAAUGCAAAAGGACUGCACAGGGUCAGGACUCGGCAGCCGCCAGCCUGCCCCAUCCGAAGCUGGGCACAGCUUCUGUACCGGCUUUUCCCUGCAGCUGUCUUUGCCGGGUUACUGCAGGAAACUCUUGGAAACACGAGACUCCCGACGCCGGGACUUCACGUAUGGAACUCCGGUUGCUGUUUAACAACAAUUUCUCCAGCACUCAGGGUCAGCGUCUCUGCCUGCAGCCUGAGGCUAGCAAGGCGCAGAGUCUCUGGCCGCGCGCCCCGCUUCUCCUAGGGAGCGACUGGUAACCACGCCGCCCCUGGCAGCCUGACUUGGACUUUAUUCCCGGUUCCUUUACUGCAGGGCAGGUCUGAAGCAGCGAGGGCGGAGUGUGGCUCGGUCCC
rnacentral:lncRNA from 1 species